rnacentral:rRNA from 1 species
CCUACGGGAGGCAGCAGUGGGGGAUAUUGCACAAUGGGGGAAACCCUGAUGCAGCGACGCCGCGUGUGGGAAGACGGUCCUCUGGAUUGUAAACCACUGUCCCCAGGGACGAAGAUGACGGUACCUGGGGAGGAAGCUCCGGCUAACUACGUGCCAGCAGCCGCGGUAAUACGGAGGAUGCGAGCGUUAUCCGGAUUUAUUGGGUUUAAAGGGUGCGUAGGCGGAGUGUCAAGUCAGCGGUAAAAUUUCGGGGCUCAACCCCGUCGUGCCGUUGAAACUGACGACCUUGAGUGAGUGAGAAGUAAGCGGAAUGCGUGGUGUAGCGGUGAAAUGCAUAGAUAUCACGCAGAACGCCGAUUGCGAAGGCAGCUUACCGGCGCUCAACUGACGCUGAGGCACGAAAGUGCGGGUAUCGAACAGGAUUAGAUACCCCUGUAGUC